UACAGAGGUCCCAAGCGUUGUUCGGAUUCAUUGGGCGUAAAGGGUGUGUAGGUGGCGCCGUAAGUCGGGUGUGAAAUUUCGGAGCUUAACUCCGAAACUGCAUUCGAUACUGCGGUGCUUGAGGACUGGAGAGGAGACUGGAAUUCAUGGUGUAGCAGUGAAAUGCGUAGAGAUCAUGAGGAAGACCAGUGGCGAAGGCGGGUCUCUGGACAGUUCCUGACACUGAGACACGAAGGCCAGGGGAGCGAACGGG
rnacentral:rRNA from 1 species